CUUAUGAGGCGGCGGGCGGGGCCAUCCUGCGCGACCUGUUCUCGGAGGAUCAGGGUGGCUACCUGGAGGACGCCGCACUGCUGGACCGCCUGACCAAGGAGAGGCUGGGGAGCGCGGCUGCGGGGCGUUUNNNNNNNNNGGGCUGGAAAUGGGCAGAAGCUCAUCUUGAUUAUCCGCAUUCGCAUGGCCUGCGGCGGCUCUAUCCGUCACCGGUCGAACUCUCGCCGGAGGAUGCUGCGGCCU
rnacentral:misc_RNA from 1 species